rnacentral:rRNA from 1 species
CAGUAGCGUAUAUUAAAGUUGUUGCAGUUAAAAUGCUCGUAGUUGAAGUUCGGAUGCAGCAGAGCUUGGAAACGCUGUUAUGGUGCUUCCGUUGCUUUUGCUUGUCCACAGUGCGUUGCAAGUACGUAUGUGCUUGUGCGUGCAUUUUACUUUGAGAAACAUAGGGUGUUCCACGCAUGUUACGGCAUGAAUAUUCCAGCAUGGGAUAAUCUGGUACGACUUCCAAUCUGCCAUUUUGGUUCGUAGGUUGGAAGUAAUGAUUAAUAGGGACUGUCGGGGGCAUUGGUAUUUGACUGUCAGAGGUGAAGUUCUUAGAUUCGUUGAGGACCAACCACUGCGAAAGCAUUUGUCAAGGAUGUCUCCAUUAA